rnacentral:lncRNA from 1 species
UCAUUCGUCCACAUGAUGCAUUAGUAGAUAAUUUUAUAACAACAGAUAUUUCUACUAGAGAAAUACAAUAAUUUAAAAUACAACCAUAAUACCUCGAUGUAAACAAGAUGCUACUAUGUCAAUGAUCAAAUGCUUAUCCUAAUUGCCACAAUGCUACCAUGUCAUAAUUCUACUUUACUAAUCACUUUAUUUCACACGUUGACCAACUUCUUGUUAACUUUCACUUUCUUACAUUCAACCUAUGUUCAUACUCUUUAUGCCAUAUGUCACUAUCUAU